UACGUAGGCAGCGAGCGUUGUUCGGAAUUACUGGGCGUAAAGAGUGUGUAGGUGGCGUGGUAAGUCGGGUGUGAAAUUUCGGAGCUUAACUCCGAAACUGCAUUCGAUACUGCUGUGCUUGAGGACUGGAGAGGAGACUGGAAUUUACGGUGUAGCAGUGAAAUGCGUAGAGAUCGUAAGGAAGACCAGUGGCGAAGGCGGGUCUCUGGACAGUUCCUGACACUGAGGCACGAAGGCCAGGGGAGCAAACGGG
rnacentral:rRNA from 1 species